rnacentral:SRP_RNA from 1 species
GCUGGGCGUGGCAGCGUGAGCCUGUAAUCCCAGCUACUCGGGAGGUUGAGGCAGAAGGAUCGCUUGAACCCAGGAGGCGGAGGGUGCAGUGAGCUGAGAUCAUGCCACUGCACUCCAGCCUGGGUGACAAAGCGAGACUCUGUCUCAA